CCUACGGGUGGCUGCAGUGGGGAAUAUUGGACAAUGGGCGAAAGCCUGAUCCAGCCAUGCCGCGUGUGUGAAGAAUGCCUUCGGGUUGUAAAGCACUUUCAGUGGGGGAGAAAGCCUUUGGGCUAAUACCCUCGAGGAAGGACAUCACCCACAGAAGAAGCACCGGCUAACUCCGUGCCAGCAGCCGCGGUAAUACGGAGGGUGCGAGCGUUAAUCGGAAUUACUGGGCGUAAAGCGCGCGUAGGCGGUCUGAUAAGCCGGUUGUGAAAGCCCCGGGCUCAACCUGGGAACGGCAUCCGGAACUGUCAGGCUAGAGUGCAGGUGAGGAAGGUAGAAUUCCAGGUGUAGCGGUGAAAUGCGUAGAGAUCGGGAGGAAUACCAGUGGCGAAGGCGGCCUUCUGGACUGACACUGACGCUGAGGUGCGAAAGCGUGGGUAGCAAACAGGAUUAGAUACCCCUGUAGUC
rnacentral:rRNA from 1 species